UACAGAAGAUAGGAGAGAAUGAGACCAGAGCUUUUCCGAUGCAUUGAAGGAGCAACGUCACCGCAAGAACAUGGCGAUCGAGAAGAAAGGAGAGAAGACAAGGAAGACCGUAGUGGACCUUUUACGCCACCAAAGCCGAACUUAAGAAAACACUUAGGGAACUAGGAAAGCCAAGAACAAAAAUCAACGAUGCUUGCGAUUGGAAUGCUUGAAAUUCUUGAGUCCAGGCACUAACCCAAGGGAUGCAUUUCUAUUUUUAGGUCGAAGUAGUGAAUUAUUUGAGCAUUUUAUGUGAGUCAAAUUCGUGAAGGGUUGGGUAAGUGAUUAUGGUACCCUAAAACCCAAAGCACAAAUGAGUUUUUGUUGAUUUCACUAACUUCGUUUUGUGCUUGAAAAGGGAAAUCUGUAUAGAAAGCUUUAGAUGCUAGCUAGGAUAAAAAAUGAGACACGGUCCCAGCAGUGUGAACUGGCGCGAUAGAGUAUGGGAUGUGAAGUUCCAUUUUCUAUUGGGAUAAUUUACAUAUUUGCGUGAUUGAUUUUGUUUCAUGCGUUAAUUUCCUA